AGUGAACGCUGGCGGUAGGCCUAACACAUGCAAGUCGAACGGCAGCACAGUAAGAGCUUGCUCUUACGGGUGGCGAGUGGCGGACGGGUGAGGAAUACAUCGGAAUCUACUUUUUCGUGGGGGAUAACGUAGGGAAACUUACGCUAAUACCGCAUACGACCUACGGGUGAAAGCAGGGGAUCUUCGGACCUUGCGCGAUUGAAUGAGCCGAUGUCGGAUUAGCUAGUUGGCGGGGUAAAGGCCCACCAAGGCGACGAUCCGUAGCUGGUCUGAGAGGAUGAUCAGCCACACUGGAAGUGAGACACGGUCCAGACUCCUAAGGGAGGCAGCAGUGGGGAAUAUUAGACAAAGGGCGCAAGCAUGAUCCAGCCAUACCGCGUGGGUGAAGAAGGCCUUCGGGUUGUAAAGCCCUUUUGUUGGGAAAGAAAAGCAGCAGGUUAAUACCCCGCUGUUCUGACGGUACCCAAAGAAUAAGCACCGGCUAACUUCGUG
rnacentral:rRNA from 1 species